GCCUGGGUGGCUCAGUGGGUGAAGCGCCCGACUUCGGCUCGGGUCACGAUCUCGCGGUCCGUGAGUUCGAGCCCCGUGUCGGGCU
rnacentral:tRNA from 1 species